UACGUAGGGUGCGAGCGUUGUCCGGAAUUAUUGGGCGUAAAGAGCUUGUAGGCGGUCUGUCGCGUCUGCUGUGAAAAUCCGGGGCUCAACCCCGGACUUGCAGUGGGUACGGGCAGACUAGAGUGUGGUAGGGGAGACUGGAAUUCCUGGUGUAGCGGUGAAAUGCGCAGAUAUCAGGAGGAACACCAGUGGCGAAGGCGGUGCUCUGGGCCGGAACUGACGCUGAUGAGCGAAAGCGUGGGGAGCAAACAGG
rnacentral:rRNA from 1 species